rnacentral:rRNA from 1 species
UAGAGUUUGAUCCUGGCUCAGAGCGAACGCUGGCGGCAUGCUUAACACAUGCAAGUCGCACGGGCAGGGGCAACCCUGUCAGUGGCGGACGGGUGAGUAACGCGUAGGUAUCUAUCCUUGGGUGGGGGACAACUGUGGGAAACUACAGCUAAUACCGCAUGAUAACUGAGGUUUAAAGGCGCAAGUCGCCUGAGGAGGAGCCUGCGUACGAUUAGCUUGUUGGUGGGGUAAAGGCCUACCAAGGCGACGAUCGUUAGCUGGUCUGAGAGGAUGAUCAGCCACAUUGGGACUGAGACACGGCCCAAACUCCUACGGGAGGCAGCAGUGGGGAAUAUUGGACAAUGGGCGCAAGCCUGAUCCAGCAAUGCCGCGUGUGUGAAGAAGGUCUUCGGAUUGUAAAGCACUUUCGACGGGGACGAUGAUGACGGUACCCGUAGAAGAAGCCCCGGCUAACUUCGUGCCAGCAGCCGCGGUAGUCGGCCCA